CUACCAUGGCUUUUACGGGUAACGGAGGAUUAGGGUUCGAUUCCGGAGAGGGAGCCUGAGAAACGGCUACCACAUCUAAGGGAGGCAGCAGGCGCGUAAAUUACCCAAUGCUAAUUCAGCGAGGUAGUGACAAGAAAUAACGGGUCGGGGCUAAAACCCUGAGACUGCAAUGAAGUGAAUUUACACCCCUUGGUUGAGUAACAAUUGGAGGGCAAGUCUGGUGCCAGCAGCCGCGGUAAUUCCAGCUCCAAUAGCGUAUAUUAAAGUUGUUGCAGUUAAAAAGCUCGUAGUUGGAUUUCUGGUGGCGAGCCGCCGCCCCUAUGAGGGCGCGGAGGCUCUCCACCAUCCUUCUGUUAACCCUCCUCGGUCUUCACUGGCCGGCUGGGAGCCCAGAUAUUUUACCUUGAGAAAAUUAGAGUGUUUCAGGCAGGCUCGCGCCCGGAUACAUUAGCAUGGAAUAAUGGAAUAGGACUUUUGCCCUUUCUGUUGGUCUGAGGGGUCGAAGUAAUGAUUAAUAGGGAUAGUUGGGGGCAUUAGUACUUAACUGUCAGAGGUGAAAUUCUUGGAUUUGUUAAAGACUAACUUAUGCGAAAGCAUUUGCCAAGGAUGUUUUCAUUAAUCAA
rnacentral:rRNA from 1 species